rnacentral:rRNA from 1 species
GACGAACGCUGGCGGCGUGCUUAACACAUGCAAGUCGAACGCUGAAGCUUGGUGCUUGCACUGGGUGGAUGAGUGGCGAACGGGUGAGUAAUAAGUGAGUAACCUGCCCUUGACUCUGGGAUAAGCCUGGGAAACUGGGUCUAAUACUGGAUACGACAUGUCACCGCAUGGUGGUGUGUGGAAAGGGUUUUAGUGGUUUUGGAUGGGCUCACGGCCUAUCAGCUUGUUGGUGGGGUAAUGGCUCACCAAGGCGACGACGGGUAGCCGGCCUGAGAGGGUGACCGGGCACACUGGGACUGAGGCACGGCCCAGACUCCUACGGGAGGCAGCAGUGGGGAAUAUUGCACAAUGGGCGGAAGCCUGAUGCAGCGACGCCGCGUGAGGGAUGACGGCCUUCGGGUUGUAAACCGCUUUCAGCACGGAAGAAGCGAAAGUGACGGUACGUGCAGAAGAAGCGCCGGCUAACUACGUG